GACGAACGCUGGCGGCGUGCUUAACACAUGCAAGUCGAACGGAAAGGCCCUGCUUUUGUGGGGUGCUCGAGUGGCGAACGGGUGAGUAACACGUGAGUAACCUGCCCUUGACUUUGGGAUAACUUCAGGAAACUGGGGCUAAUACCGGAUAGGAGCUCCUGCUGCAUGGUGGGGGUUGGAAAGAUUCGGCGGUUGGGGAUGGACUCGCGGCUUAUCAGCUUGUUGGUGGGGUAGUGGAUUACAAAGGCUUUGACGGGUAGCCGGCCUGAGAGGGUGACCGGCCACAUUGGGACUGCGGUACGGCCCAGACGCCUACGGGAGGCAGCAGUGGAAAAUAUUGCGCAAUGAGCGGAAGCCUGAUACAGCAGCGCCGGGUGCGUGAUACCGGCUUUCGGGUUGUAAACCGCUUUCGCCUGUAACGAAGCGUGAGUGACGGUAAUUGGUAAGAAAGCACCGGCUAACUACGUG
rnacentral:rRNA from 1 species